rnacentral:rRNA from 1 species
GGAGUUAGGAAAUGUAAGUGCGCUAAUAUCGCAUUUAUUUGACGAAGGCUCCAAAGGAAGUCACGGCUAACUCUGUGCCGGCAGCCGCGGUAAUACAGAGGUGGCAAGCGUUGUUCGGAAUUAUUGGGCGUAAAGAGCACGUAGGUGGGUUUGUAAGUCAGAUGUGAAAGCCUUCUGUUCAACGGAAGAAUUGCAUCUGAAACUGCGAGUCUUGAGUGUAGGAGGGGAGAGUGGAACUUCUGGU